GACGAACGUUGGCGGCGUGCCUAAUACAUGCAAGUUGAGCGCUGAAGGUUGGUACUUGUACCAACUGGAUGAGCAGCGAACGGGUGAGUAACGCGUGGGGAAUCUGCCUUUGAGCGGGGGACAACAUUUGGAAACGAAUGCUAAUACCGCAUAAAAACUUUAAACACAAGUUUUAAGUUUGAAAGAUGCAAUUGCAUCACUCAAAGAUGAUCCCGCGUUGUAUUAGCUAGUUGGUGAGGUAAAGGCUCACCAAGGCGAUGAUACAUAGCCGACCUGAGAGGGUGGUCGGCCACAUUGGGACUGAGACACGGCCCAAACGCCUACGGGAGGCAGCAGUAGGGAAUCUUCGGGAAUGGACGAAAGUCUGACCGAGCAACGCCGCGUGAGUGAAGAAGGUUUUCGGAUCGUAAAACUCUGUUGGUAGAGAAGAACGUUGGUGAGAGUGGAAAGCUCAUCAAGUGACGGUAACUACCCAGAAAGGGACGGCUAACUACGUG
rnacentral:rRNA from 1 species